rnacentral:rRNA from 1 species
UACAGAGGUCUCAAGCGUUGUUCGGAUUCAUUGGGCGUAAAGGGUGCGUAGGCGGGGAGGUAAGUCGGGUGUGAAAUCCCUCGGCCCAACCGAGGAACUGCGCCCGAGACUGCUUCUCUUGAGUCCCGGAGAGGAAGAUGGAAUUCCCGGUGUAGCGGUGAAAUGUGUAGAGAUCGGGAGGAACACCGGUGGCGAAGGCAGUGUCCUGGGGAGCAUCUGACGCUCAGGUGCGAAAGCUAGGGGAGCGAACGGG